CUGUGAAUGGGCGAUUGCUCUUAUAUUGUUCACAGUCCGUUGCUUCUCGCACGCAGCAGCGGGUGCAGAGUACUACCAGGAAAUUGCAAAUCGCUAGUAGGAAAACAAAACCAGCAUUUAGAGAAGCAGAUUCUUCAGCGAACGAUUAAGAGUGUGACUAUGGGGAAGUCAGCUUCCAAACAGUUUGCAGAAGAGGUCUUAAAAGCCCACAAUGACUACAGGAAGAAGCAUGGUGUUCCCUCGCUAAAACUCUGCAAAAAGUUAAACAGAGAAGCACAGCAGUAUUCAGAAGCACUUGCAAGCACAAGAAUCCUCAAACACAGUCCUGAAUCUAGUAGUGGAAAAUGUGGGGAAAAUCUAGCAUGGGCUUCUUAUGAUCAGUCAGCCAUCUUACCUUAAGUUCAUCUGACUGGCCUUCUAAUAACGACUGGAAGGGAGAGAUGAACGUCAGCCUUGGUGGUCUAGCAGGUUCCUGCUUCCCAGAGUCCUUGAGGCCAAGCCUAUGAAUAGCUCUGCACAUGUGGCUGCCGAUAUAGUUUUGGCCCUUUGUUUAGACAAUUUUUCUGCCCUUGCAAAUUGGUGACAUUUUUCCAUGGUUAGACCUACCUCUCUCAGCAGUGUCCCCCUGAAGGCGAAGUUCUAUAUGUCACACACAAUUCUGUCCCUGAUUAGGGAGUCUUUUAUGGCUCCAAAGUUACACGUGGAAGUCACGAGUUUUCAGUGUUGUGAAAUAAGCAUCUAUUCCUUCCCCUUUCUGUUGUUUUAAAGUAAAAACCAAUCUCUUUAUAUGGUCUCACUUGCUCUGGGUUCACAGAAUGCAUCAGACACUUCUAUUAACUGUUUUAGAGUUCCAGGUUUCCCUGAAAUCAGUGUUGCACUUAAUUCACAGCCCUUCCACCCACCACACUAGACAGUAAAAUAUAUUUAUCUUUUUCUCCUCUUUAUCAGCCAUGAUGACUGAAUUCUUGUUUCCACUGCUUCCAGGCUCCUUGUGUUAAAAUCCAGUUGGCCUGGAGCUUUAUGGACUUCCAUGCUUCUCACAAUCUGCUUUAAUCGCUGCUGGGGCCUGGAUCGGUCUCUCUUCCUCACAAAAAAGUCUACUGCCGCAAUGCUUUGUGCAACACUGUUUGUGUAAUGAAAGAGUAACUCCCAACUUAAUAUGAACAGUGUCCUGUACUAAGAUUGUUUCUUUACAGAGCAGUUACAGGGCCUGUUGUUCUGUACCUACCUCUAUCCAUCUCCCACUGACUCGACUUCAUUUCCUGCUCCUCCUUCAAACUCCUUCCCCCUGUUAUUGCUGGUUUUACUUCUGAGUUGUAUAUGUAUUAUAAUAAUUCGAUCGUGUGGAAGGGUAAAUUAGUUUCUUUCUGGUUUGCCCAUAAAGCUGUUCC